AAGUACCUAAGGGGGGUCAUGUGACCGUGAGUGAAACGGAUAGAUAUACGUAUGUUAAAGGUUAAAUUUGUACAGUUUAAUGCCCGAUAACUUCGUUGUUUAUUAUGAAGAGGAAUAUUCGAAGGGAAUUUUAUCUAAUGUGAAUGUUUUGAAGAAAUUUACGCGAUGCCAGAAUUAUUUAAUCGAAUUGUAAUCUUGUUUUAGGUAAGCGAAUAAGAGUGAUUGGUGAUCGCAAAUUUAUAUCAUUCGGACGAAACGAAUAAUUGGAAGAUUUAUCGUUGAGUUCCUUCGAUCGGUCGGAGGAUCGCGGAUCGUGUGAUUUGAACUGGAAGUGGCUGAAAAAUUUUCGUGGUAAUUUGGGAGCUAGACUAUGUAUUCGAUCGAAGGAGAUCAAUUGCUGAUGGUUAGUUUCUUCGUUGAGAGGGUUUCAGGUGAACGAACAAAUGCGUCGUGUCGAAUGAUGAUUUAGCUUGAUAUUUGGUGGAUAAACAAAACGAACGAGAGUUUAGAAGUAGACUGGUGUCAUCAUGAUGUUAACGAUCUAAAUAAAUUCAGACUAGUUUAAUUUAAUUCAAA